CGGCUGUGAUGACUUCUUAGGACACCUUUGAAUUCCCCAUGAAAACAAACUCAUGAAACACCUGAGCUGC